UACGAAGGGGGCGAGCGUUGUUCGGAAUUACUGGGCGUAAAGGCGCGUAGGCGGCCGAUCAAGUCAGAUGUGAAAGUCCUGGGCUUAACCUGGGGACUGCAUUUGAUACUGAUUGGCUUGAAUGCAGGAGAGGAUAGCGGAAUUCCCCAGUGUAGAGGUGAAAUUCGUAGAUAUUGGGAAGAACACCGGUGGCGAAGGCGGCUAUCUGACUGUGAUUGACGCUGAGGCGCGAAAGCGUGGGGAGCAAACAGG
rnacentral:rRNA from 1 species